rnacentral:rRNA from 1 species
UACCCUUGACAUCUACAGAAGCCGGAAGAGAUUCUGGUGUGCCUUCGGGAACUGUAAGAC